UUUCGCUGUAACCGGAACCAUCAUCACCAAGUUCUCCCUAGGUCUCACUGAGGAAGAUGUGAAGAACUCACCUUUCGCCCAGAAGCACAAGAAGUGAUCUGCAGAUUACAAAUGCUCAUCUGGUUUGACGCUUCCGGUUGUUUUCAUUAUCUUCGUUUUUCGACGAGCUCCGGUAUAAGAAUAACGUCAAGAAAUCACCAGUUCCGAAUACUCAAGUUGCGAAUUGUGAUUCUUGUGAUAUCAUUAAUGGUUGUCUUUGAACAAUGUUGAAACGCCAUCUGCGGUUAGUGUUUAAGCCUUUAUUGUAUUAUCAUUUUGAGAAUAAUAAAAUGACAAUGUUUGCCAGUUUUAUCAA